rnacentral:rRNA from 1 species
AUUGAACGCUGGCGGCAUGCCUUACACAUGCAAGUCGAACGGCAGCACGGGAGCAAUCCUGGUGGCGAGUGGCGAACGGGUGAGUAAAGUAUCGGAACGUGCCCAGUCGUGGGGGAUAACGUAGCGAAAGUUACGCUAAUACCGCAUACGAUCUAUGGAUGAAAGCGGGGGAUCGCAAGACCUCGCGCGAUUGGAGCGGCCGCUAUCAGAUUAGGGAGUUGGUGGGGUAAAGGCUCACCAAGCCGACGAUCUGUAGCUGGUCUGGGAGGACGCCCAGCCAAACUGGGACUGAGACACUGCCCAAACUCCUACGGGAGGCAGCAGUGGGGAAUUUUGGACAAUGGGCGAAAGCCUGAUCCAGCCAUGCCGCGUGCAGGAUGAAGGCCUUCGGGUUGUAAACUGCUUUUGUACGGAACGAAAAGGUUUGGCCUAAUAAGCUGAGCUCAUGACGGUACCGUAAGAAUAAGCACCGGCUUACUACGUGCCAGCCGCCGCCGUAA